GGCAUGGUUCUCGGGUGACACAUCCUGGAAUCAGGCUCCCUCCUCUCUGAUUCCUGGUGCAUCACCCGAGAACUGCA
rfam:Myotis davidii contig128720, whole genome shotgun sequence.